UAUUAUUAUUUUGGCAGAUUAGUGCUUUAAAUUUAGACUUUAAAUAUGUAGGUUUUACAAAUAAUA
rnacentral:tRNA from 4 species